rnacentral:rRNA from 1 species
GACGAACGCUGGCGGCGUGCCUAAUACAUGCAAGUUGAGCGCUGAAGGUUGGUACUUGUACCAACUGGAUGAGCAGCGAACGGGUGAGUACCGCGUGGGGAACCUGCCUUUGAGCGGGGGACAACUUUUGGAAACGAAUGCUAAUACCGCAUAAAAACUUUAAACACAAGUUUUAAGUUUGAAAGAUGCAAUUGCAUCACUCAAAGAUGAUCCCGCGUUGUAUUAGCUAGUUGGGGAGGUAAAGGCUCAACAAGGCGAUGAUACAUAGCCCACCUGAGAAGGUGGACGACCACAUUGGGACUGAGACAACGGCCAAAAUUCUACGGGGAGGCGGAGUAGGGAAUUUUCGGCAAUGGACGAAAGUCUGGCCGAGCAAAGGCGCGGGAGUGAAGAAGGUUUUCGGAUCGGAAAACUCUGUUGGUAGAGAAGAACGUUGGUGGGAGUGGAAAGCGCAUCAAGUGACGGUAACUACCCAGAAAGGGACGGCUAACUACGUG